CCUACGGGAGGCAGCAGUGAGGAAUAUUGGUCAAUGGGCGCGAGCCUGAACCAGCCAAGUAGCGUGAAGGAUGACUGCCCUACGGGUUGUAAACUUCUUUUAUAAAGGAAUAAAGUGAGGCACGUGUGCCUUUUUGUAUGUACUUUAUGAAUAAGGAUCGGCUAACUCCGGUCCAGCAGCCGCGGUAAUACGGAGGAUCCGAGAGUUGUCCGGAUUUAUUGGGUUUAAAGGGAGAGUAGAUGGGUUGUUAAGUCAGUUGUGAAAGUGUGCGGCUCAACCGUAAAAUUGCAAUUGAUACUGGCAGCCUUGAGUACAGUUGGGGUAGGCGGAAUUCGUGGUGUAGCGGUGAAAUGCGUAGAUAUCACGAAGAACUCCGAUUGCGAAGGCAGCUUACUAAACAGCCACUGACAUUGAUGCUCGAAGGUGUGGGUAUCAAACAGGAUUAGAUACCCCAGUAGUC
rnacentral:rRNA from 1 species